rnacentral:rRNA from 1 species
CCCUUAGAUGUUCUGGGCCGCACGCGCGCUACACUGUUCGACGCAGCGAGUCUUAACCUUGACCGAAAGGUUUGGGUAAUCUUCAGCAAAGUCGAACGUGAUGGUGAUCGAUCAUUGCAAUUAUUGAUCGUGAACGAGGAAUUCCUAGUAAGUGCAAGUCAUCAGCUUGCGCUGAUUACGUCCCUGCCCUUUGUACACACCGCCCGUCGCUACUACCGAUUGAAUGGUUUAGUGAGAUCUCUGGAUUGACGCUGGCUAGGGGGCGACCCUUGGCCAGACUGUUGAGAAACUGCUCAAACUUGAUCAUUUAGAGGAAGUAAAAGUCGUAACA